rnacentral:other from 1 species
AGUCAUCUGUAGUGUUCGUAAGUUUGCUUCAUAUUUGGAGCCUAACACUCUUUGAUCCGGGAGCCCAAUGGGUUUUCUUGCAGCGCACACGCCUCAUUUAGAAGGACUUGCAAAACAAGAAACAGGGCACCCACCUGUUAUAAGCAGGCCGAAUGAUCAAGCAUUUUAUAACUACGGCACUAACGGACUCUAU